rnacentral:rRNA from 1 species
UACGUAGGGUGCGAGCGUUGUCCGGAAUUAUUGGGCGUAAAGAGCUCGUAGGCGGUCUGUCGCGUCUGCUGUGAAAUCCCGAGGCUCAACCUCGGGUCUGCAGUGGGUACGGGCAGACUAGAGUGCGGUAGGGGAGAAUGGAACUCCUGGUGUAGCGGUGGAAUGCGCAGAUAUCAGGAAGAACACCCAUGGCGAAGGCAGUUCUCUGGGCCGUAACUGACGCUGAGGAGCGAAAGCGUGGGGAGCGAACAGG